rnacentral:rRNA from 1 species
ACCAAGCCUACGUCCUUAGCUGGUCUUGGAGGGCUAUCAGCCACAGCGGGACGGUUACAUCCCGAACUUUUUGGCAGCAGUGAGGAAUAUUGGACAAUGGGCGCAAGCUUGAUCCAGCAAUGCCGCGUGGGUGAGGAAGGCUUAGAUUGUAAAAUCCUUUCGUCGAAGAUGAUAAUGACAGUAUUCGAAAAAGAAGCCCCGGCUAACUUCGUGCCAGCAGCCGCGGUAAAACGGAGGGGGCUAGUGUUACUCAACUUGACUGGGCGUAAAGGGCGUGAAGGUGGUAUGGUACGUUUUAUUGUAAAUACUCAAACAUAAUUUGAGGAGCUUUAAAAUACGGCUAUGCUUGAGUUUAUUUGAAGAAAGUUGUACUUCUA